rnacentral:rRNA from 1 species
CUUCUGAGCUACGCUCUACACCCUUUGUGACAUACCUACAACUGUUGCUUCGGCGGGUAGGGUCUCCGCGACCCUCCCGGCCUCCCGCCUCCGGGCGGGUCGGCGCCCGCCGGAGGAUAACCAAACUCUGAUUUAACGACGUUUCUUCUGAGUGGUACAAGCAAAUAAUCAAAACUUUUAACAACGGAUCUCUUGGUUCUGGCAUCGAUGAAGAACGCAGCGAAAUGCGAUAAGUAAUGUGAAUUGCAGAAUUCAGUGAAUCAUCGAAUCUUUGAACGCACAUUGCGCCCGCCAGCAUUCUGGCGGGCAUGCCUGUUCGAGCGUCAUUUCAACCCUCAAGCUCUGCUUGGUGUUGGGGCCCUACAGCCGAUGUAGGCCCUCAAAGGUAGUGGCGGACCCUCCCGGAGCCUCCUUUGCGUAGUAACUUUACGUCUCGCACUGGGAUCCGGAGGGACUCUUGCCGUAAAACCCCCCAAUUUUCCAAAGGUUGACCUCGGAUCAGGUAGGAAUACCCGCUGAACUUAAGCAUAUCAU